rnacentral:lncRNA from 1 species
CAUCAUCAUCUGCAGCAUUAAUUACAACUGGUGGAUGCUUGGGGCUAGGAACAUUUUCGGAACUUUCUACUUUCAUAACGCUCCGCAGCUGAGGGGAAGGAUUGGACUGGACAGACAAUUUGUUCUGCUGAACUGAAAGUUGGCUAGCCUUCACUUCCUCUUCUGGUGACUCAGGCACAGUGGGCAACACACUUUUGCUCGGAGAUGCAGCUGUUCUCUUAGUUACAUUGGCAGAUUGUGUGUUGUCAAUGUUGACUAUUGCUUAGGGAACCACAGUAUAUCAGUGCAUGGCCUCUGCCUGGCCCUUUCGCACAAUUGUAACUGUAGCGGUCUGCAAAGAUAUGAAAGGAACAUCUGUGAGAUAGAUACUGAAGACUGCAAAUCUGCGUCCUGCAAAAAUGGAACAACUAGUACACAUUUAAGGGGAUAUUUCUUCCGCAAGUGUGUCCCAGGAUUUAAAGGCAAGUUUUUUUUUUCCUGAUAAAUUAAAUUUUCUAGUAAAUAAUGUUGUUAAUAUAUUUAUUUGAUAUAUCUCAAAUAUAUCUCAAAUGUGUCUAUUGAUUGGUA